rnacentral:misc_RNA from 1 species
UCCGGGUUAAACCCGGCGGUCCCGCCAGACAUGGUAACUGGCAGCGAGGGUUGCGCUCGUUGCGGGACUUAACCCAACACCUCACGGCACGAGCUGACGACAGCCAUGCAGCACCUGUGCACGCUCCCUUGCGGGUCCCUUCCCUUUCGAGGUCGUACCACGCGCAUGUCAAACCCAGGUAAGGUUCUUCGCGUUGCAUCGAAUUAAACCACAUGCUCCACCGCUUGUGCGGGCCCCCGUCAAUUCCUUUGAGUUUCAGCCUUGCGGCCGUACUCCCCAGGCGGGGCACUUAAUGCGUUAGCGCCGGCACCCAGGGGGUCGCUCCCCCAGGCACCUAGUGCCCAUCGUUUACGGCGUGGACUAC